UCUUGAGGGUGUGGGUGUGGGUGUGGGUGUGGGUGUGGGUGUGGGUGUGGGUGAGGGUUAGGAGUAUAGCCUGACCCACACCCACACCCACACCCACACCCACACCCUCACCC
rnacentral:pre_miRNA from 1 species